GAUGAACGCUGGCGGCGUGCCUAAUACAUGCAAGUCGAGCGAAUGGAUUAAGAGCUUGCUCUUAUGAAGUUAGCGGCGGACGGGUGAGUAACACGUGGGUAACCUGCCCAUAAGACUGGGGUAACUCCGGGAAACCGGGGCUAAUACCGGAUAACAUUUUGAACCGCAUGGUUCGAAAUUGAAAGGCGGCUUCGGCUGUCACUUAUGGAUGGACCCGCGUCGCAUUAGCUAGUUGGUGAGGUAACGGCUCACCAAGGCAACGAUGCGUAGCCGACCUGAGAGGGUGCUCGGCCACACUGGGACUGAGACAAGGCCCAGACUCAUACGGGAGGCAGCAGUAGGGAAUCUACCGCAAGAGACGAAAGUCUGACGGAGCAACGCCGCGUGAGUGAUGAAGGCUUUCGGGUCGUAAAACUCUGUUGUUAGGGAAGAACAAGUGCUAGUUGAAUAAGCUGGCACCUUGACGGUACCUAACCAGAAAGCCACGGCUAACUACGUGCCAGCCGCCGCGGUAA
rnacentral:rRNA from 1 species